rnacentral:lncRNA from 10 species
UGGAUUUUUACAGAAAUCUGAAUCCCAACCAAAGAAAGAAAGAGUUGUCUAUCCAGUUCUUUUCCCUCUUAGCCCAUGGCCAAGUUUAAUUUCUGCUCCAAACCAACAUCGAAAGAGAGAAAAAAAGCAACAACAACAAAACACCCUUUUGCUCCCUGAAGCACACAAUGGACUCGUUGAUCUGAGAACAAACACGCUACUCCACAGAGCUUGAGUUGUAUAGUGAGCAGGACACAGAGCUAAAAGUCAGGCCUCACAGAUUGUUCCUGGCUAAGCUACUGAGCCAACCUGUGGCCUGGGAAUGCCCAGCAGUCUUCUCGAGGUACCCAUAGGAAAAACGGAGGUGAACACAGUGAUUCCUCUGUGUGGUCGUAUUCUUGGAUUUCUGCCCUUCAGCUUCGAAGGAUACCACCGUGAACCCCCUGAAGACACAGAGAAGAGCAUCUUCCUUCUCUACCUUUUGGAUUGGGUGAAAGACUGAGAACUGCAACCAGCGAGGCUGAUGUUUCUGUGCACACCUUAGUUAGCUGUGCAGCCAGGUUUUCCCAUAUAGAAGGGGCAAUACUAGGAUAGACUUCCUGUUCACAUGUUCAAAGCUGAGCUAAAACUUGUACAGAGCUUUUUUUCCAGGGUAUGAGUGCCAUAAACCUGAAUCAGACUUUCAGAUGCCACAUCCAUUGGCAUCUUGAAGAAGAAAUUCAAGAAAAUGGGCUGAGGCAGACCUGGUGGCAUCUGUCCCCUCUUUAUGGUGAGGGAAAUUCUGGCUAAGGCUGCACUUGCUCAGCUACUUUCCUGCAGGGUCAACAUUGCAUUUCUGGAAUCUGCUGUAGCUUUGGGUCAUGCACUGAGACAGGAAUCAUCUUCUUUUCAGGAUUUAGUAGACCAGGAGGGUUUUUUCCCCUUCUUCUUUAUUAAAUCAUACAUAAUUAGAUAUUAAAUUCAAUUCACUCUUCCUGUUGUUUCGGAGAUGGGCAGAAUCCUUUUUUUUUUUUAAUUAUACUUUAAGUUUUAGGGUAC